CGGCAGAACCAGGCUCAGGGAGGGGCGGCCAUCUGCUGCGACAUGGCCUGUUAUGAGUGAGCUAGCACCUUGAAUCCGGCGACGUUCAAUGCAUUGUGAGUUUCCAAGUCCCCAGCUGCGAAAAAGCCUCUUUAUGAAAUGGAGAGUAGCUCUUCACAGCAAGACUGAUUUUUUUAUAUGGAGUCACUGAGGAAGCCAAUGGAAAUAUAAAGGGGAAAGCGGUGGAGCUGUGUCCGAAAAACCAGCGGAUGGUCAGGCUGCUGCUGCUGUGGACAAGAACUCACCUGAAACUUUUAGCGGCCAACCCAGGAUCCAGUUCCUCUGAAGAGCAUUGAGGUGGAGCUGGAGGUGAGGGACCAUGUGGCUACAGUGGUCUCCACUCUGAACUACGAGAACAAGGAGGACAAACCAUUAGAGGCUGUUUUUGUCUUCCCUCUGCCUGGAGAUGCUGCUGUCUGUCAUUUCAGUGCUCAGGUUGGACAGACACAGAUUGUAGCUGAGGUGAAGGAGAAACAGAAGGCUCGUGAGGAGUAUGAUGAUGCUCUGAGCUCCGGUCAGCAGGCCUUCCUAUUGGAGGAGAGUGAUCAGAGUCCAGACUUCUAGAACGAUGCCCUUUUGACAAACAAACCCAAAACUGGAGAUAUUUGACCGACACUCGUCUGCUCCUGUUGAAGAGCUUACCAAUGGGCUGCUAUUCCAACAUUUAGUUUUGGGUCUAGUUAUGAACACAUCUUCCCUAAGCGUGUAGAGUAUAGUGAGAAGACCAUGGAGGCUCUGAAGGCUGAUCUUGGAGGAACAGAGAUCCUGGAGUCCCUCAAAAAUUCUUACGGUCAGCCCUGCAUUCCCACUCAGACUAAACAGGUGUUUCUCUUUUGGGAUUGGGGAAGGGGCCAGCUCUGCUCUCAUCAAUGGGAUGGCCAAGGAAGGAGGAGGUCACGCUCAGUUCAUCACGGGGACUGACAGGAACCAAAAAGCUCAGAGGCAGCAGAGGGCUGUGUGACGCUGAAGUACAGCCUGGCAGGUCAUCCCUCUGAGAACCAGCCGCACUUCAGUCACAGACCUGCAGAGAACUCUGGGCUGGGUGCUCGGACUCUUAUUUGCUCACUAGAGAACGGAGACGAAGACGAUGAGGUAGAAGAAGAUGGAGGUGUGGAGGAGAAGGUGGUGGAGUUGAGUGUGCAAUCAGGAGUGAGCAGUUCUUUCACUGCCUUCAUUGCUGUCAGUAAAGACAAUGGCGAGAGGAUUCAAGGCUCUCUUCUCCACCGAGAUAUUCCAGCACCCACACUGCUGGAUGAAGAAUUUCCGCCUGCUAAGAAGCCACCCAGAGACCCUUUGCUGCUGUUAGUCUCCCUCCAGAAGGCGUCUGGCUGCUGGCUGCUUGAUCCAGCUCUGCUGCUGCACUGAGACCAACGAGGAGGUGGAAAAGUCAAAGCCUGAAAAGGCCAGCAGUGAAGUGUGGGCCUCCAUUCUGGCUCUGAUCUGGCUUCAUGGUUUCAAGAUGGAUGCAAAGGACGAGUGGGAGCUUCUGGCUGCAAAGGCUGUAUCAUGGCUCAGUGCGCAAAAAGCACCAUCUGUGACAGACUGUGUGGAAGCCGGAAAUAUAUUGUUGGGUUGCAGUGUGCAAAAAACUGCCCUUGAGGUUUUUAUUAAACUAACAACUUCUUUACGAUUCAUACACAGAAGCAGAUUUACUCCAUACUUCAUCCACAUUAAUCUUUGCAUCGUCCAACUUUAUUAUCUAAUGUACCUUAUUUUAUGCUGCAUGUGUCCAAAGUCAGCUUUGUAGGAGGACCGGAGAUUAUUGCUUUUGUAUUCUCAUUUUAAUGUUGCUGUGUUUUAUUUAUGUAUUAUUU